CAUGGGGGGCUAGGGAUAUGGGAUACACAGGGGGCUAGGGAUGGGGGGCUAGGGAGAGGCAUGGGGAUGCCUCCCCCCAUCCUUAGCCCCGUGUCUCCCCCAUCCCUAGCCCCCCAUGACUGUCCCCCAUCCCUAGCCCCCCAUGCCUCCCCCCAUCCCUAUCCCCCUGUGUAUCCCCUAUCCCUAGCCCCCUGUGU
rnacentral:miRNA from 1 species